UACGUAGGGUGCGAGCGUUAAUCGGAAUUACUGGGCGUAAAGCGUGCGCAGGCGGUUGUGCAAGACCGAUGUGAAAUCCCCGGGCUUAACCUGGGAAUGGCAUUGGUGACUGCACGGCUAGAGUGUGUCAGAGGGGGGUAGAAUUCCACGUGUAGCAGUGAAAUGCGUAGAUAUGUGGAGGAACACCGAUGGCGAAGGCAGCCCCCUGGGAUAACACUGACGCUCAUGCACGAAAGCGUGGGGAGCAAACAGG
rnacentral:rRNA from 1 species